rnacentral:rRNA from 1 species
CGACGCCUACGGGAGGCAGCAGUAAGGGAUAUUGGUCGAUGGGGGAAACCCUGAACCAGCAACGCCGCGUGAGGGAAGACGGUUUUCGGAUUGUAAACCUCUGUCCUCUGUGAAGAUGAUGACGGUAGCAGAGGAGGAAGCUCCGGCUAACUACGUGCCAGCAGCCGCGGUAAUACGUAGGGAGCGAGCGUUGUCCGGAUUUACUGGGUGUAAGGGGUGCGUAGGCGGCUUGGCAAGUCAGUAGUGAAAUCCAUGGGCUUAACCCACGAACUGCUAUUGAAACUGUCGAGCUUGAGUGAAGUAGG